UUUUGUGCUCAUCUCUCAUCUCCCUUGUCUAACCUCUCCAUCUCUCACCUCCCUUACCACCACCCCUCCACCUUCUCUCAACACCACUCAAUUCCAUCAGGAAGACUACAAACCGUAGCCCAGGAAGGGAUACUGGGUUGGGAUUGGGAUCCAUACAACAUCAUUCUCUUGUGUUAUUGGAACUGAAUCCAGAUGAUUAUGGUUUUGGGUGGUUUGCAUGCAAUCAGCAUGAAGUGGCUUAGGAUAAGAUGGUAUGAGAGAAACCUGCUGGAGUGUGAUGCUCUAGGCACCAUUUAUGAACUUCAGGAAAUUCCCAAGAGAUCCGUCAAUGAAGUAUCCUUGGGUCCUAGUGGCGCAUGUUGUCGGUAGAGCCGCGAAAUUUCUUGGCAACUUCGUGCCUCUUAAGUCUAUAAUUUGACUUGGUAAACAGACCCAAGGAAAAAUGAAAAUUCCUGGCAACUUCGUGUCUCUAAAUUGUGGAAAAAAACUGAAGAAGCAAAACAAACGCGGUUUCAAUGUCUAAAGUCUAAAUUGUGGUGGUUGGCAUCAUGUCGGUAGAGCCGCGUCCAAAAUUUAAUAUAGAAGGAAAUUUCUUGGCAACUUCGUUCGUGCCUCUUAAGUCUAUAAUUUGACUUGGUAAACAGACCCUUGGCAUCAUGUCGGUAGAGCCGCGUCAAAAAUUUAAUAUGGAAGGAAAUUUCUUGGCAACUUCGUUCGUGCCUCUUAAGUCUAUAAUUUGACUUGGUAAACAGACCCUUGGCAUCAUGUCGGUAGAGCCGCGUCAAAAAUUUAAUAUAGAAGGAAAUUUCUUGGCAACUUC